CAUGGCUGACCUAAAGCAAACAAAAAGACUAUCGCAAAAUAAGUCUACCAAAGUUUUCUACAAGAUAUACGUACGUCUUAAGUGAAGUCGAUGUUUAUCGAUGAGUUUCAGCAAUAUCAAACUGUUUCGUCCUGAUGGCUGCCCAUAACGCACAGUUGCCAUACUCAUCAUUGACGUCAACCUUGGCCCCAGACCUACACAGAGCGUCCACAACUGGCUGUAAACGAUGACCGAUAGCCAACUGAAGAGCUGAUUGGUUUUCCUUUGUUCUGACGUAAGAGAAACGAAUGGAUAUAAAGCAUUGGAUGUAACUUUACCAGCCAUGCUUUCACAGAAGGGUCUGGAAACUAGAUGCACAGCAUUCAGGCAUUAGGGCAUUUUAUCAUCAACAACAAACGAAUAUGUUGUUCUUCCAUCUAUCUUAGUCACACACCCAAAAGCAAAAGACAUUACCUGACAUUGAUGUCUGCUCCCCGUUUGAUGAGAAACAAGGAACUAGGUGCAUCCUUUCUAACUAUUGAUUUUAACAUUAACGUGAAACCCUCCGAAUCUGGAAGAUCGAUGCUCGCUCCAGCUUCCAAGAGACUCUCAGCUAAACGAUACUGAGCAGUAAAGAGCGCGUGUGCCAACGCCGAUUGCUCUUCUGCGUCACAAAUAUCGAAGUCAGGAGCUAAAUUCAAGCGACCACCACUGCUAACCUUGUCUGAGAGAAUUUUGAUCAAUGAGAACAGAUCUAUUUUCGAUCCAAUUACAAAAGAAACAUUUCAUGCUGAUGAAAACGAGCCCAUAAAAGAACAAUUAUCAGCUGUGGCUGCCGAUGCAGCGCGGAUGUCGUCAAUGAAAGGGUUGCUCAGGUCUGAUGGACUUAAC